GAUGAACGCUGGCGGCGUGCCUAAUACAUGCAAGUCGAGCGACAGAUGAGGAGCUUGCUCCUCUGACGUUAGCGGCGGACGGGUGAGUAACACGUGGAUAACCUACCUAUAAGACUGGGAUAACUUCGGGAAACCGGAGCUAAUACCGGAUAAUAUAUUGAACCGCAUGGUUCAAUAGUGAAAGACGGUUUUGCUGUCACUUAUAGAUGGAUCCGCGCCGCAUUAGCUAGUUGGUAAGGUAACGGCUUACCAAGGCAACGAUGCGUAGCCGACCUGAGAGGGUGAUCGGCCACACUGGAACUGAGACACGGUCCAGACUCCUACGGGAGGCAGCAGUAGGGAAUCUUCCGCAAUGGGCGAAAGCCUGACGGAGCAACGCCGCGUGAGUGAUGAAGGUCUUCGGAUCGUAAAACUCUGUUAUUGGGGAAGAACAAAUGUGUAAGUAACUAUGCACGUCUUGACGGUACCUAAUCAGAAAGCCACGGCUAACUACGUG
rnacentral:rRNA from 1 species